UACGGAGGGUGCAAGCGUUAUCCGGAUUCACUGGGUUUAAAGGGUGCGUAGGUGGGCAGGUAAGUCAGUGGUGAAAUCUCCGGGCUUAACCCGGAACUGCCGUUGAUACUAUCUGUCUUGAAUAUCGCGUAGGUAAGCGGAAUAUGUCAUGUAGCGGUGAAAAUGCUUAGAUAUACAUAGAACACCAAUUGCGAAGGCAGCUUACUUCACGAUCAUUGACACUGAGGCACGAAAAGCGUGGGGGAGCAAACAGG
rnacentral:rRNA from 1 species